AACUUUCAGCAAUGGAUCUCUUGGUUCUCGCAUCGAUGAAGAACGCAGCGAAAUGCGAUAAGUAGUGUGAAUUGUAGAAUUCAGUGAAUCAUCGAAUCUUUGAACGCACAUUGCGCCUUCUGGUAAUCCGGGAGGCAUGCCUGUCCGAGCGUCAUAAAACAAACUCCUCAAGCACUGGUGCUUGGUCCUGGGGCUGUGCCAGGUUCCCACCGUGAGGUGGCCCUGCCCUCCGAAAUCUAUAGGCGGAAACCCAGGUCGUAUCCAGGUGUGAUACUUAUAUUUUCUCUUGGUGCGCCUUGGGUUGCAUGCCGUUCCAACCAGCCCCCCAGCUGCUCUUUCAAGUUUGACCUCGGAUCAGGUAGGGAUACCCGCUGAACUUAAGCAUAUCAAUAAGCGGAGGCU
rnacentral:misc_RNA from 1 species